rnacentral:misc_RNA from 1 species
GUUUUAGUUCUUUAAUUCUCCUAUUUUAAGUUUUAGGAUAUUUCAGAAAUAUUUUGGUUUGAUAAUAAUGGAGACUCUGUAUUAUUUGUCUUAUUUGUGAAUGCUGGAUUUGGAAAUUGGAAUAGCAUAUGUUCAUGUUAGGAUGUCAUGGCCAACAUGAAGAUAGGACCCUUGAGUUGGCUUUGAAAUGAGAGUAAUUGUUCAUUAGAAUAUUAUAUCCCAAUUGUUUUUUUUUUUCUUCUUCCAUCUAUUAGUUGUAUACUGGAAGCAAAUUUUUUCUUGAUUGCCCCAACAACUGGAA